AUUGAACGCUAGCGGGAUGCCUUACACAUGCAAGUCGAACGGCAGCACGGACUUCGGUCUGGUGGCGAGUGGCGAACGGGUGAGUAAUGUAUCGGAACGUGCCUAGUAGCGGGGGAUAACUACGCGAAAGCGUAGCUAAUACCGCAUACGCCCUACGGGGGAAAGCAGGGGAUCGCAAGACCUUGCACUAUUAGAGCGGCCGAUAUCGGAUUAGCUAGUUGGUGGGGUAACGGCUCACCAAGGCGACGAUCCGUAGCUGGUUUGAGAGGACGACCAGCCACACUGGGACUGAGACACGGCCCAGACUCCUACGGGAGGCAGCAGUGGGGAAUUUUGGACAAUGGGGGAAACCCUGAUCCAGCCAUCCCGCGUGUGCGAUGAAGGCCUUCGGGUUGUAAAGCACUUUUGGCAGGAAAGAAACGUCAUGGGCUAAUACCCCGUGAAACUGACGGUACCUGCAGAAUA
rnacentral:rRNA from 2 species